UACAGAGGGGGCAAGCGUUGUUCGGAAUUACUGGGCGUAAAGGGCGCGUAGGCGGCCUGCUAAGUCGAACGUGAAAUCCCCGGGCUCAACCCGGGAACUGCGUCCGAUACUGGCAGGCUUGAAUCCGGGAGAGGGAUGUGGAAUUCCAGGUGUAGCGGUGAAAUGCGUAGAUAUCUGGAGGAACACCGGUGGCGAAGGCGGCAUCCUGGACCGACACUGACGCUGAGGCGCGAAAGCUAGGGGAGCAAACGGG
rnacentral:rRNA from 1 species